ensembl:lncRNA
CAAAGGCAACCAAUAUCCACACUAGCAUGAUCACACUAGAAUGGAGUUGUGGUAGAAUUAAUAUGAAGUAAGUAUGCAAUACAUGACCUAACAACAGCUGUUUUGCAUUGUUAGCUGAACACAGUUUGAAGCAUUAAUAAACUUUAUUUAUUUCAGGUAAACCAACAAUAAACAACAUUUACAGAAGGACAUUACAUCUUCCAUAAUAACAUUACAUACAGGUCGUAACAAAUAGGUAAUGCAACAGCUAUUCUACUAUUAUAUCCUAAGUUUCAGUUUAUAAAGUGACCGGUAACAGUUCUUCUAUGUCCGAAACCACUUGUGAAAAAUGAUGUAUUUUCAGAGCAUUAUACAAAAAAGAAAAAAUAGAUACGCAAGUGAAGUUUUUUUUUGUACUGUAAAACACAGAUUCAGUGUUGAGUACAGCGGGGGUUGCAUGUCUGGUUCCAAAACGCCUUUCCCAACAUAUACUGUACGUCUACGCAGUUAAGAAACUGACAAGGCCAAAAAAAUACUGUAUGUGUAUAUAUCCAUAUAUAUUUAAUAUGAAUCCUCUCUUUUAUGGCGCAAAGGAGACACGCGUGACCCUGUAUGUACGCAAACAUAGUCACUAUUACAUUUUACACAAGGCGUUUCACCUCCCCUUUUAUAUACAGCCUAGUAAGACAGUUUAUAACAAAGGAUACAAAAUGAUUAAAUAUUGACAUGUAACUCAAAAUAUGACUCGAAAUGUACACAUUCCGUAGCAUGGCCAGUAUAGCAAGCAGAUCAAUCUUAAGCCAUUCCCCAAUUCAGAUUUGAAUGGUGUAUUUGUAAAUGCAUUUUUUAAAAACAUUUGGAAGUUGACCUUAACAAGCAAGAACCAAUGGUAACAUUCAAAUGAUAGUGGGCCCCAUUCAAUUGUUAAUUAUUUGGACCGUCACAGUGCUCAAUGUGCAAUUUCACUACUUAUUUUCCAAGAUUUCCCUUCAUAGAGAAAUGCUUUUAAUUCCCAAAGGAGAAAAAAAGAGCUUUCAGGAACUCCACCCACACAGGCAGGCAGGCAGGCAGGCAGGCAGGCAGGCAGGCAGGCAGGCAGGCAGGCAGGCAGGCAGUCCAAUACAUAUACAGUAUUUUCAUGUUUAUGUGAUGUCGCAGGCAGGCGGCAAAGGAAGAAACUUCUGGGACACAAAGGCACAAAAUAAAAAGGGGGGAAAAGCAGGAGAGUAACAGAAAACACAGAAAGCAGGAAAGCAUAAAGCCAUGCAAGGCCGAGCAGAGCGAGCUGGGCGAUCUAUCUCAGCAGAGCUCUCUGGUAUUAGCCCUCCUCUGUCACACUGCUUCAGUCACAUUAAGACGCCACUCUAGAUUCUCCUCCCUUCCUCACUACCAUGACACAGAAUCACUUGUCACACCAGGAAUGACACUGAAGUCCUAUGAAAUCACUUUAAGUGUCUGUAGUAGUUUUCCUUAAAAAGUCUGUGCAUCACUGGGGUUGGAAACUGGGGUCUGUUGGCCUAUACUAUGGUUGACAAGGCAGGGCACUGAUAUUUCUAGUCUGUGCAGGCAAGGGCAUGUGAUUAAGGACAACACAGGUGCAAAAAGUGACAUUUUAAAUAAGCUGGAAUGUACAGUAGGGCAAAUAUAUUCCAAAAGUGCAUUCUCAAAAAGCUAAUGACACAAGUCGUCACUAUCACUGUGUUUCUCUGUCGUUGCCUCGCCUGCUCUAUAUCACACCAAACACCACUAGAGAUGGUGGGACAAUUAAAGCUGUACCAUUACACGGACUUGGCCAUAUGCCGAAUCAUGUCAAAGCCUUCUACAAGAGUCAUUUAUUUUUAAUGUCUCCUCCUCCUCUUCCUCGUCCUUCUCCCUCUAUGAUAGACUAGCAGGUGAGGCAGGGGUGGAGAAGGACUGUGUGUGGCCAAGUGUCUACAGUAUUAUACCUGUGACUGUCUCUCAUGUGUUUUCAUGUGUGUGUGUGUGUGUACAUGUCUCUCUAAGGGUGUCAAUGUGGAUUAAGAAAACUAAUCUCUCCUGAUAGGUAGUGUGUGUCUAUGAUGUCUAACUCAUAACUCUCCUCCCCCUCCUCUACUUGUGCACAGUACAGGCAAUUCAGAUUAGUGGUCGAUUUCAAAUCAAUCCAUAAAACGGGAACCCAUAUUCUCCAUGUUACUGGUCAUUGCUAUAUUACCUAGCUCACACAUGACUAAUAUGAGCAGGUAUUUUUACACAAAACAACACCCAGCUGAAAAUCGAACACAAAGACAUCUUUGUACCAACCAAUGUAACAUAGUACCCAAGAAACAAAAGUAUUUGUUAGAUCAAUAUCAUGCGAUAUCAUAAAAAGUGCUAAUAUUUUUAUUAACGUGAUAGCUGAGACAAACAGACGAGGACGCAAUCGUCUAAUAACAUUUGUGAUGACUGAAAUACAGUACAUUACUGGAUGGUGACGCUAUCAAAGAACGUGAAGGAGAAGAGGAUUGUCACGGGUCGAAGUAACCAAGAGAUCAAAAUCCCA